AUGUGUACCUAUCUUCUCAUUUUCUUUUUCUUACCUGUACUUCGCCGCCAAAAAAAGGAUUAUAUGUAUGUAUAUACAUAUGAUUAUACAGUGGUGGUGAUCUCAUUUCUACUUGUUGGAGUUUGUUAAUCAUAGGAAAACUACUCCUUUUUCCAUCGGAACGCAUGGCUCUGAAUGAAACUCUCGUGAUUUGUUGAGAUUUGAGAACUCAUUAAAGCAAUAUCCAUUUAAGUAGUAUAAGCUUUGAUCAUCCUUUUCUUGGCUUUCAAAUGCUUUUAUACAGCGAGGAUAAUAUGUUGGGUAGGGGGAGGCGGAGGGGAAGUGAAGAACAGAUUUUUGUGAAUAUAUGUUGAGUGUAACUCAUGAAUUCUGGCUAAAUCCUAAUAGUCUCUCAUACUGUUCUUGUAUAAUUCUGUCAUAAUUUGCACAUAUGGAUUAAUUUUUGUUAGAACCUUCAAUUUAUAUAUGGAUACGUGUAUUUCUUUUUACAAGAAAG
rnacentral:lncRNA from 1 species